rnacentral:rRNA from 1 species
CAAAUCCGGUACUCGUUAAGGCUGAGCUGUGAUGGGGAGAAGACAUUGAGUCUUCGAGUCGUUGAUUUCACACUGCCGAGAAAAGCCUCUAGAUAGAAAAUAGGUGCCCGUACCGCAAACCGACACAGGUAGUCAAGAUGAGAAUUCUAAGGUGAGCGAGCGAACUCUCGUUAAGGAACUCGGCAAAAUGACCCCGUAACUUCGGGAGAAGGGGUGCUCUUUAGGGUUAACGCCCAGAAGAGCCGCAGUGAAUAGGCCCAAGCGACUGUUUAUCAAAAACACAGGUCUCUGCUAAACCGUAAGGUGAUGUAUAGGGGCUGACGCCUGCCCGGUGCUGGAAGGUUAAGAGGAGUGGUUAGCUUCUGCGAAGCUACGAAUCGAAGCCCCAGUAAACGGCGGCCGUAACUAUAACGGUCCUAAGGUAGCGAAAUUCCUUGUCGGGUAAGUUCCGACCCGCACGAAAGGCGUAACGAUUUGGGCACUGUCUCAACGAGAGACUCGGUGAAAUCAUAGUACCUGUGAAGAUGCAGGUUACCCGCGACAGGACGGAAAGACCCCGUGGAGCUUUACUGUAGCCUGAUAUUGAAAUUCGGCACAGCUUGUACAGGAUAGGUAGGAGCCUUUGAAACGUGAGCGCUAGCUUACGUGGAGGCGCUGGUGGGAUACUACCCUAGCUGUGUUGGCUUUCUAACCCGCACCACUUAUCGUGGUGGGAGACAGUGUCAGGCGGGCAGUUUGACUGGGGCGGUCGCCUCCUAAAAGGUAACGGAGGCGCUCAAAGGUUCCCUCAGAAUGGUUGGAAAUCAUUCAUAGAGUGUAAAGGCAUAAGGGAGCUUGACUGCGAGACCUACAAGUCGAGCAGGGUCGAAAGACGGACUUAGUGAUCCGGUGGUUCCGCAUGGAAGGGCCAUCGCUCAACGGAUAAAAGCUACCCCGGGGAUAACAGGCUUAUCUCCCCCAAGAGUUCACAUCGACGGGGAGGUUUGGCACCUCGAUGUCGGCUCAUCGCAUCCUGGGGCUGUAGUCGGUCCCAAGGGUUGGGCUGUUCGCCCAUUAAAGCGGUACGCGAGCUGGGUUCAGAACGUCGUGAGACAGUUCGGUCCCUAUCCGUCGUGGGCGUAGGAAAUUUGAGAGGAGCUGUCCUUAGUACGAGAGGACCGGGAUGGACAUACCUCUGGUGUACCAGUUGUCGUGCCAACGGCAUAGCUGGGUAGCUAUGUGUGGACGGGAUAAGUGCUGAAAGCAUCUAAGCAUGAAGCCCCCCUCAAGAUGAGAUUUCCCAACUUCGGUUAUAAGAUCCCUCAAAGAUGAUGAGGUUAAUAGGUUCGAGGUGGAAGCAUGGUGACAUGUGGAGCUGACGAAUACUAAUCGAUCGAAGACUUAAUC